rnacentral:rRNA from 1 species
AGUGAACGCUGGCGGUAGGCCUAACACAUGCAAGUCGAACGGCAGCACAGUAAGAGCUUGCUCUUACGGGUGGCGAGUGGCGGACGGGUGAGGAAUACAUCGGAAUCUACUUUUUCGUGGGGGAUAACGUAGGGAAACUUACGCUAAUACCGCAUACGACCUACGGGUGAAAGCAGGGGAUCUUCGGACCUUGCGCGAUUGAAUGAGCCGAUGUCGGAUUAGCUAGUUGGCGGGGUAAAGGCCCACCAAGGCGACGAUCCGUAGCUGGUCUGAGAGGAUGAUCAGCCACACUGGAACGGAGACACGGUCCAGACUCCUACGGGAGGCAGCAGUGGGGAAUAUUGGACAAUGGGCGCAAGCCUGAUCCAGCCAUACCGCGUGGGUGAAGAAGGCCUUCGGGUUGUAAAGCCCUUUUGUUGGGAGAGAAAAGCAGCAGGUUAAUACCCCGCUGUUCUGACGGUACCCAAAGAAUAAGCACCGGCUAACUUCGU